rnacentral:tRNA from 1 species
UUCCAGGUGGCUUAGCUGGUAAAGUGUCUGCCUGCAAUGCAGGAGACCCAGGUUCUAUCCCUGGGCCGGGAA